CGCCGUGGCAACCCUCCUUGGUCCCUGUCUGUUCUGUGGAAGCUUUGUUCUUUCACUCUUUCUUGCAUCUUCAGAAAGAAGUAUUAAAACUUUCCUAGCGUGUUAAAUUCUGCUACCUCACCAACGACAACUUGGACCUUGACCUCCAAUGUGUGUUCGACCAAAUUCCCUUCGUAGAGGCUGGGAAGAGAGGUAUAUCGCUUUCAGCUCAGAGGCUUACGUUGAAAGAGGAAGUUUGGAGAUAAAUGCUCUUUUUCUCUUCAUGUCAGUCUGGUGAGAUGCCCCUUCAACUCUGUGAAGCCCCUUCAACUCUGGCUUGCCCUGGCUAUUGUACUGGCAGAGGGACUGCCAGGGAGAUCUUGUGACUUAUGUUGAGUAUUUAUUCUCUCUGGCAAACCAGAUGGUCAUAACGAGGAGCCUGGCUUCUGGAUUUGCCAGUUACCUUACAAUGUAGUGGUCACAUCUCAUUACAUCUCAACUCUUACACCAUGGAAUUCCAGGAAGUUCUGAAGCCCCAGGAGCCUUCAACAUCUGAAAGCAUUUGGAUUUACCAUUCUGUUUCUCAUCCCCUUGUUUGGAGGCCUCCUAUACCUUGCUGUGAUUGUGUGCUUGUGUGUGUGUGCGUGCGUAGGAAUGUGUGUGUGUGCAUGCAUGCUUUGCUGGUAUGAUGGUUCUCAGCACAGUCUACUGCCUUACAUCCAAGUUCUCCCAUUUAAGCUGGCCCUCUUAGUAUUUUAUCACUGACAUUAUUUGGAAUUUCUGGUGCAUGCUGAUAAUACAAUCAGACUGACUCUUAUUGUUUUUAAAUUCUCCAAAGGCCAUGCCCAUGCACCCCUUUAUUGCCUGUACAUAGGGCUGACUUCGUCUACCGCCUUAGGGUCAAAGUCUCUGCUUGGCGGCAUCCUAUUCACCCUUCAUGACCCAUCCUGGGCUAGGUUUGAUGCUCCUCCUACCCUGCUUUCUCUAUCCUAUCACUUAUCUGAUAUGUUUGUUUAACCAUCUGUUUUCCCCCUCUCUAUUUUAAGGGAUGUGGAAGCAGAGAAUGUGUCUGUUUUGCUCACCAUCACAUCUGCGGAGCCUAGCCCAAUGCCUGGCAUGGAGUCAGGAUGCAAUCAUAAUUUGCCACAUGGAGGAAUAAAUGGUUGGCUUGUCCCGUGA
rnacentral:lncRNA from 1 species